AUUGAACGCUGGCGGCAGGCCUAACACAUGCAAGUCGAGCGGAUGAAGGGAGCCUGCUCCUGGAUUCAGCGGCGGACGGGUGAGUAAUGCCUAGGAAUCUGCCUGGUAGUGGGGGAUAACGUCCGGAAACGGGCGCUAAUACCGCAUACGUCCUGAGGGAGAAAGUGGGGGAUCUUCGGACCUCACGCUAUCAGAUGAGCCUAGGUCGGAUUAGCUAGUUGGUGGGGUAAAGGCCUACCAAGGCGACGAUCCGUAACUGGUCUGAGAGGAUGAUCAGUCACACUGGAACUGAGACACGGUCCAGACUCCUACGGGAGGCAGCAGUGGGGAAUAUUGGACAAUGGGCGAAAGCCUGAUCCAGCCAUGCCGCGUGUGCGAAGAAGGUCUUCGGAUUGUAAAGCACUUUAAGUUGGGAGGAAGGGCAGUAAGUUAAUACCUUGCUGUUUUGACGUUACCAACAGAAUAAGCACCGGCUAACUUCGUG
rnacentral:rRNA from 1 species